UCGGCCUGGGGCGGUUUGGUGGCCUUCCUGCUCCAGUCAGGGCAGAGCCGCCGCCUGUGGACGAGGGCGCUGCUGAGCGCCAGUUCUUGCUGUGGUCCCGGAGCUCGACGUGAGACCUGAGAGAAGUCGUCUGCCUGGUUUUCUGUGAAUAAACAGCUCAUCUGCAAGCAAUGAGAGACGUACUUCUUCUUUUCAGGAAAAGUUCAGCAUUCGCGUUCUGGCUGAGAUGUCAUUCUUAACAACAGCAAUGACUGCCUGGGGAAUAUGACGGCAUUUGCCUAAAGGACUUCAUCUGGCCCAUGAUAUCUUGAAAGUACCUACACCAUCCUUUCAGAUACUCAAAGGUACUUCAAAUAAAAUCAAAACAAGAAUUCUCAAACGUAGCCUUGAAAAUGUGGGGAGUCAGAACAAAAGGACCUCAUUGUUUCACUGAUAGUCAUUGAUGGGGACACCCAGAAUAUACGGAGAAAUGAAGAGAAAAGGUUUCAAGUUUGUUCGUGGUCAGGGAGACGGAAGAACAGGGAGUGCUUGCCGUGAAUACAGGGUUUGCUGGGAGGUGAGGCGGAAAUCUUCAAAGGGUCUGAAACUACAAGGUGGCCAUGGUUACACAGCGCU